ensembl:lncRNA
GUAAAAAUAAACCAAUCAAAGCGCACGACAAACGGAGUUAUUGACUCCCAGAAGAAGGAACCGAUUCUGAACAGCUGUAACGAGUCGUUAUGAAUUCCAGUAAUAAUUCCGUUAGUAAUUCCUUACUUCCCGUACAAACCUAGUAGGCUUAUAUUCAGUACGACCACGAAUAAACGCCAUGUAUUCGUUUGCGUUGUCCUACCUUAUACGAUUACGAAUGAAAUACGACCUAUCGGAAAACAUUAAAAGAUCCCGCUACUUUGGCAACGGAGUCGGUAGUCUGUGGGGAAACUCGACUUUCGCAAUUUUCUCAGCAUACGUGACACGCACGUCUCAAACGAUCACGUCUCCAUCCUUGUUUUUGGUUCACAUCCCGAAAAGAGUCGAUCCGCCGAGAGGUCCCACGCACUGACGACUACGGGGCGAUCCUAAAGCUUCGGAGUCGAUUCCGUACGCUGAAAAUGAUUCGACUCUUUGUCUUUACAUUUAGCGAGACAGCCAAAGCGAGAGAUCUUUACAAUCGCCUUUAUUUUGAAUUUGUCUGCCCGGGAUUGAACUAAAUCAGGGCUUUGGACGCACGGCUGUGACGACAGGACACCGUCAACCGUGCAUGGGUUCAUCCGUCUCGUUCGGUUGACGGGUUAUCUGACAUGUCAGUGGUAAAGAUAUAUUGUAUAAAGUGUGUCCCAUAAAUCCAGCGUCAAAUAGCCAAACAAAUGCGUUUUCGUUUAUUUAUUUAUUUAUUUAUUUAAUUGACUUGCUCAGUACGUUCUCAUUGACUCGGAUUCGUUCUUCCUUACUCAGUAAUAAAUAUAAUAAAAAUAUACAUUGAUCCUAUGACGCUGGACUUACGGGACCGCCCGUUAGUGACCGGUAAGUAAAUAUUUUUAGUAUUUAAUAUUAAAAUACUAAAAAAAAAUAAAAUAUUUUUUAAAAAAUAUUAAAAAUACUCCCGUCAAACGAAUCGAAGAAUCAUCAUUACGUUCGCAACUCCAACGUGAAGCGCCGUUUCAAAACAAAACCGAUUCGAAUUGGCGCGUUUUAUUUACAGCCAUGAACGCUUCCUCGUGAAUUUUUGCCGAGUACCCAUCGCCUCAUUGUUUGGCUCUCGACCUGGCCGGAAACACUGGCUGGAUCUGGUUCCAAGCCUGUGUUGUUGAAGAGAGAGAGAAAAAAAAUGCGGUUAUCAGCAGUAUAAUAAGCUCGGCUUAAAAUAUGACGACAGGCCACGCUGAGCCACACGUCUAAAAUAAAACACCAGGGCUGACAACAGGGUGCAGAGUGCAGAGCCACUAAAGGAACUGGAGUCAGAGGUGUAGAUAGCGGCACGAAACCUUAACCUUUAGAUCAGAGAGAGAGAGAGAGAGAACCUGAGAUAAUAUACACCCAAUCUAUUCAAAUUAACUGUAGUGGCACGCUUCCUCACAUUACUUUCAAAAUCCAUCAAACCUUUAAAAAAAAACACACACUACAGAGUGAAACUCGGAGCUCUUUCAGUAAUUUUGGAGCGUGUCUAUGUAUGACGUGAUCAGAAAAAGUCGGAUUUAUCAUAAAACUUGCCUCGGGUGUCGUCACUGCUCGUUGGACGACCAGACCGAUAAAAUAUAAAACUUUUCUAACUAGGCUAGUUUGGUGUCGCUAGCCAAGGGGAGGCUCAGCUAAGCUAUCACUGUAUGGGUUUAGCUGCUACAGCGCCAUGGAAAGUACAUUAUAUUUCCUUCUGCUCCGCUCAUAUCAUGUUCAUGUAAAUCGGAAAUAAUAUACAGGCAUUUACACACUUUGUUUUCCUGCUCAGAAUGAGAGGAUGUUAGUGUUUCAGUUUCAUUCUGUGUACUGGUUAAAAAUAAAUAAAUAAAUAAAUAAAUAAAUAAAUAAAUAAAUAAAUAGGUAGCCGUAGAUUCAUUUUUCCUCACACUGACUGUGAGCUAGCGUCUGGCGGAAUUGAGAGGCUGUCGGCCAAUAAGACAUGAGUGUCUCCACGUAUUUUCCUGUAAAACCCGUCUGAACGGUCCCGCCUCCGUUCACCGAAGGUGGAAAAUCACAGGCGGUCUUCUUUUAGUGACUAGGGCUAAAGAAAAAAAAAUAAAAUCUUCGGGGCAAACCGUGAUCUAUUCUAAAAAAUAAUAAUAAAUAAAAAAAUGCAUGUUACUUAAUAUUGUUUUCUUUACAAUAAAUUUGUAAAGCGAGUAGUGUUAUUUUAUUGACAUCAGUAACUGUAAUCAAAUGACAUCAGUUUCAAAUGUGAUGUGUUCCGCUACUGCAUUAUCAGACAAAGUCAUCAGAGUACACCAACACGUUACACCCAACUCUGAAAAUGACAGGCUGCGUUUUUUGAGAGAGAGAGAGAGAGAGAGAGAGAGAGAGAGAGAGAGAGAGAGAGAGAGAGAGAGAGAGAGAGAGAGAGAAAGAAUGAGAGAGAGAGCUAGAAAGAAAGAGAGAGAGAAAUAGACAGAGAGCGAGAGAGAGAGAGAGAGAGAGAGAGAGAGAGAGAGAGAGAGAGAGAGAGGGGUAGAAAGAAUGAGAGAGAGAGCUAGAAAGAAAGAGAGAGAAAUAGACAGAGAGCAAGAGAGAGCGAGAGAGAGAGAGAGAGAGAGAGGGGUAGAAAGAAUGAGAGAGAGAAGUAGAAAGAAAGGUAGAAAGAAUGAGAGAGAGACAAAGACAGACGGACAGAGACAAAGGUAGAAAGAGAGACAGAGAGAGAGAGAGAGAGAGAGAGAGAGAGAGGGAAGAAAGGUAGAAAGAAUGAGAGAGAGAUGAGAGAGUCAGAGAGUGAGAACGAGAGAGAGACAAAGAGGGUUAGAAAGAAUGAGAGAGAGAGCUAGAAAGAAAGAGAGAGAAAUAGACAGAGAGAGAGAGGUAGAAAGAAUGAGAGAAAAGUAGAAAGAAGGGUAGAAAGAAUGAGAGAGAGAGAGAGAGAGACAAAGACAGACGGACAGAGACAAAGGUAGAAAGAAAGAGACUGACAGAGAGAGAGAGAGAGCGAGAGAGAGUGAGAGAGAGAGAGAGAGAAGAAAGGUAGAAAGAACGAGAGAGAGACAAAAAAAGAGUGAGACAGAGAAAGGGAGAAAGAAUUAGAGAUAGAAAGAGACAGACAGAGAGCGAGAGAAAUAGAGAGAGAGAGAGAGAGAGAGAGAGAGAGAGAGAGAGAGAGAGGCUUGUGAAGUGACUCUACUGUUUAUCGCAGCUAUAACGCAAGUGUAAACAGGAACCAACUCGUCACUCGGAUGUUCCACGACAUUCAAUCUAAAGAUAAACAAUUCGAAUGUACAACGCGUCGUUCGUGAUUAACUUAAACGCGGUUAUUGUUGGAAAAUGGUGGUGGUAGUAUAAGUGCAAUAACACACUCGAGACCGUCCAGUUGAAUGAAAAUAAAUACACGUCAUGCCGCAUCACACGUCCUCGGCGUGCAUCAUUUCCAUAGAACAGCAAAGUCUGGAGUGUGUUAUUGUUUACUUCUGUGAUCAGCCCCUGCAGGAUUCUGCACUUUCCUCAUCGCAGAAAUGAACGCACAAUCCAGGAAACGCCGCAAUAUUUACAAGAGUUUGUGAUUUUACAGCAUAACCGCAGAUUUUCCGCAGACUUGGGCCAAGGCGCAUAUGAUGUCAUCACAACGCGCCACGUGACAUCAUCACAGCAGCAUGCAUUCAUCCAAAGUCCCCGUCGAUUCCCGUGCGUCGCACGCGAGUACAGCUCAAAAAGGUCUCGUUUACCGACAAACAUCACUGGCUGAGCUGGUUCGAUUUUUUUGUUCGUUUUUCUUUUCUUUCGUUCUUUAUCGAUUUGUUUUGGCUCGGUGUGCUAGCGUCCUCCGUUUAACAAAAUGUUCCCGUGUUACGGUUUUAAAAGAUUAAAAAACACACGGCAACCGAUCCGAUGCUUCCAAGUUUCUAAAAAAAGUUUAUUGUCCUAACGACGUUGUUUUUUAAUAAAUAAAAAGAUUCCACGAAAACUGCGAUAUCUCGUCUCUCAAACCGAAACAAAAUAAACUUUUCACAAUAUCCAUAUUACAUCACCAUGACGACCAGCCCUGCCAUGACACCGUGAAACCACGAGAUUUGUUUGUUGUUUUUUUUUUUUUUUUUACACCGUCAACAAAACUCAAACCUUUGACAUUUAUAGUUGAGCCCAAUAUUCAAAGUGGAUCCUAUUGGUCACAGUCAGAUGGAAUGGCGAGGUACGGCUAGACUCAUCACGGCCUCGUCCCGAUCUCCGACGUGUGUGAGAGACACGCUGCGAUUAAAGGAGAGGAAGGACGGUAGCGGUCUCACGCAAACACUGCGACGAGUGUGUGAGACCAGGAAGUUAUUUCACUCCCAGAAUUCCCGUACUGUUUUUAGCACGACCUCGUCGACUCCUGUCGGAAUUGAAUGACGAAGGACGUGGUAAAAACAGCACUGGGACGCAACGUUUAUCCGUUUGUGUGCGUGUGACAAGAGGGAGCAAGCAGGUCCACGCACAUCAAGAGUCAGAACUGCCAUUAAGCUUAAGCCUACACCCACACACGUGCCGAAUUCCGAACCGCAUCCGCAGCCUUUUCCUAUACACGGUAUUCUCCGAGCGAGAGUGGUUUAGAGAGCGCACAAACACACGUUUCCUUCCUUCCUUCCACUUUAAAAUAAGAAUAAUAAUUUAAAAAAAAAAAAAAAAAAAAACGCUAAUCAUGUUGCAUUUCGGUUGAGUAUUCCACGUGUCAUAAUGACGCAUCCACGCUGAGAGACGAUCGACGACGGGGGUCACGUUUAAGUCGUGCUUCCUCUCGGACCUCGUGGCGUUUUUGAAACUGAAGCUUCGGCAAAGUUUCACGAGGAGACGAUGGAUGACCUUUUUAUCUGACCUCCAGGAUUGACCUUCAGCGGUCAAGUCGCGUGGAUGUGAUGUGACGUAAUACUGGAUCAUUUCCCGCC